GGUGUGCAACAUAUGUGGUGUGUGGCUCCAGAGUCAAUAAUCCAGCAUUUAGAGGUAAGUGUGUGUGUGAAACUGAAAAGGCAGAAGGGUAUGGAUGAUAUACCUACCGCGUGAAGGCCAGAAGUGGCGUUAUUGGUGGGAGGAGAGAAGCUGUCCGACGAGAUGUUGGAGUGCGGUUGGUGAAGCCGUGUGCUUAGGUGGGCAAUAAUGUUUUGAAUUUGCGAUGUGCUCCUAGCAUCGACCGAGGCAGCAGAAUCAAGUGUCGGUAAGCAGGCAACGAUGGAGAUGAAUUUUUGCACCUAUCGCACAGUCGGGUGCGUGCCCGAGGAAGAAGAAGAAUUGUGCUCUGGAGAAGCCUGUUCGUGGGCCAAGACCUGGUGGGCAGAAGAGAAAACGGGCCUGGACUCAGAGCCUGAUGGAUUAAGUGAUUUGGUUCCAGGAGUGGGCCGAGACUAAGAUGAAUUGCGGGCUUGGGCUUGGGCUUGAGGCCCUAUGGGUACCCAUGUAAGCAGUAACACCUGUCCACAGUGUGGCCCCCGAGCCCACAAUGUGAACAGGUGGGUCGUCUUCGACCUUGGGUUAGGGCAACGAAAGAACCAGACCCCGCAGCCACCUCUGCGCACGCGUCGAAGCCGAUCGCAUGGUGCCGUUCUUCUUGCACCACCAGCGAGAAAGCCUUUAAAAUGGAUGGCGAACAUUCCAUCAUCAGGAUUUGAGCCCUAACAACAGCGUAGGAAGGAUUCAAACCUAUCAAAAAAAUCAUCACAAACUCCUGCUCCUGAUAAUCAUUCCAUGCCUUCAUGUUUCCACAAUGACAGGUUGGAGCUGGUUGGUAAGUUUUGAGCUCGUCCCAGAUUGUUUUCACCCGCGUAUAAUAGGCGUUGACGCUGAG
rnacentral:lncRNA from 1 species